GGAGAGCAACGAGUCCAAGGUUGUCAGCUCCAGCCACAGGGGUUGUUCCUGGAUCCAAGAGGCCUGUGACUUUUUUGUCUGGAUGGCAGAGCUGAGGCCGGUGGUUGGCACCGCUGCUUAGAGGCUGGGAAGCGCUGAAUGAGAGGCAUUUUUACAGGACCAUCUACCAGAUCAGCACUGUCAAGAAGUGGAUUUUAACUGUCCUGCACCCUAACGCCUAGCCAGUCCCAGCUCUGUACAUCUAUCAUUGAACUUAUAAUGGGUCUGGCUCCUGGGAAACAGAUUUUUCUUCACACUGAUAUGUUUUUGAAUUGAAAUAGGACAGCCCAGAGAACUGGCCAGCAAGGAACACUUGGCAUGCUAGGAGCUGAAAACUCAGACAUUCAGCUGUUUCAGGAAGGUGGUGGAAUUCACUCUCCUGAGCAUGGAAACACAUCAACACUGUCCUUCCAUACUACUGCUGCUGAAAUUAGCAACACGAGAAUUUUGGGUGGGCUAUCAAAGCUUACCUUCAAAGGUUACCUUGUGUGCUUGCUGGAAAGGAAAUUUGACGUGACCCAGCAAGAAUUGUCAUGCGAAGAGGAUGGAUUAUUGAUGAAGAGAAAGAAUAAGCAUAGACUCCCCGCUUCCAUUUCUGUUUUAGAGUUCAUGUUGGGGGGCCAUAUGCAGAAAGUUUAUCGUCAAGCCACUGCCCUAACAAGUCAAAGAAAUGAAUAUCCUUUUCCAUAG
rnacentral:lncRNA from 1 species